CCACGUGAAACAGAGACAGAGUCCAACUGCCUCCCAUAGGUGCCCUGACCAGGGAUCGACCCGCAACCUAGGUAUGUGCCCUGACUGGGGGAUUGAACCUGCAACCUUUUGGUGCACAGGACAAUAUUCCAACCAAUGGAGCCACCUGUCCAGGGCCCACUCAUCUUUUUGAUUGGCCCACCCUGCACCAGCCCUGGGGACCCCAAGUCACCAGUUCGUUACAGAGGACAUUAAAAGGGACAAAUCCACACUCAGACCAGAGAUGCCUGGGAGCAGGAAAUCCAAAGGGUUUGAAGUGGUGGGAGCCAGGAAAUGAGGAUGAAGACCAAAUAAAUACAGGUGACAAAUAGAAUUGGGUCA